AUUGAACGCUGGCGGCAGGCCUAACACAUGCAAGUCGAGCGGAUGAAGGGAGCUUGCUCCUGGAUUCAGCGGCGGACGGGUGAGUAAUGCCUAGGAAUCUGCCUGGUAGUGGGGGAUAACGUCCGGAAACGGGCGCUAAUACCGCAUACGUCCUGAGGGAGAAAGUGGGGGAUCUUCGGACCUCACGCUAUCAGAUGAGCCUAGGUCGGAUUAGCUAGUUGGUGGGGUAAAGGCCUACCAAGGCGACGAUCCGUAACUGGUCUGAGAGGAUGAUCAGUCACAAUAGAACUGAGACACGGUCCAGACUCCUACGGGAGGCAGCAGGGGGGAAUUUUGGAAAAUGGGCGAAAGCCUGAACCAGCCAUGCCGGGGGUGUGAAGAAGGUCUUCGGAUUGUAAAGCAUUUUAAGUUGGGAGGAAGGGCAGUAAGUUAAUACCUUGCUGUUUUGACGUUACCAACAGAAUAAGCACCGGCUAACUUCGU
rnacentral:rRNA from 1 species